rnacentral:rRNA from 1 species
GAUGAACGCUGGCGGCGUGCCUAAUACAUGCAAGUCGAGCGAACAGACGAGGAGCUUGCUCCUCUGACGUUAGCGGCGGACGGGUGAGUAACACGUGUAUAACCUACCUAUAAGACUGGGAUAACUUCGGGAAACCGGAGCUAAUACCGGAUAAUAUAUUGAACCGCAUGGUUCAAUAGUGAAAGACGGUUUUGCUGUCACUUAUAGAUGGAUCCGCGCCGCCUUAGCUAGUUGGUAAGGUAACGGCUUACCAAGGCAACGAUGCGUAUCCGACCUGAGAGGGUGAUCGGCAACACUGGAACUGAGACACGGUCAAGACGCCUACGGGAGGCAGCAGUAGGGAAUCUUCCGCAAUGGGCGAAAGCCUGACGGAGCAACGCCGCGUGAGUGAUGAAGGUCUUCGGAUCGUAAAACUCUGUUAUUAGGGAAGAACAAAUGUGUAAGUAACUAUGCACGUCUUGACGGUACCUAAUCAGAAAGCAACGGCUAACUACGUG